AAGUCCACACCAGACACACCCACUGGAGCCACUCCUAAAUUCCUGGCAUGCAUAUAUUCUAGCAUGCAAUCAGUUACCUUCCUGCUAUUGAGAAUAAAACACCAAAAGCUUACCGUGCAGAAACCCAAUACUUCAGGACCGUAACUACACCCUCGGGUGUUGCACAAGAUGUUCAGAACAGCACCUUCUUCUCAAGAUCUGUGAGCCAGAUGAAAUUAAAGAAGAAAU